rnacentral:rRNA from 1 species
AGCGAACGCUGGCGGCAGGCCUAACACAUGCAAGUCGAACGAACCUUUCGGGGUUAGUGGCGGACGGGUGAGUAACACGUGGGAACGUGCCUUUAGGUUCGGCAUAACUCAGGGAAACUUGUGCUAAUACCGACUGUGCUCCUCGGGGGAAAGAUUAAUCGCCUUUAGAGCGGCCCGCGUCUGAUUAGCUAGUUGGUUGAGGUAAUGGCUCACCAAGGCGACGAUCAGUAGCUGGUCUGAGAGGAUGGUCAGCCACAUUGGGACUGAGACACGGCCCAAACUCCUACGCGAGGCAGCAGUGGGGAAUCUUGCGCAAUGGGCGAAAGCCUGACGCAGCCAUGCCGCGUGAAUGAUGAAGGUCUGAGGAUUGUAAAAUUCUUUCACCGGGGACGAUAAUGACGGUACCCGGAGAAGAAGCCCCGGCUAACUUCGUG